UACGAAGGGGGCUAGCGUUGCUCGGAAUCACUGGGCGUAAAGCGCACGUAGGCGGGUUGUUAAGUCGGGGGUGAAAUCCUGGAGCUCAACUCCAGAACUGCCUUCGAUACUGGCGACCUUGAGUCCGGGAGAGGUGAGUGGAACUCCGAGUGUAGAGGUGAAAUUCGUAGAUAUUCGGAAGAACACCAGUGGCGAAGGCGGCUCACUGGCCCGGGUACUGACGCUGAGGUGCGAAAGCGUGGGGAGCAAACAGG
rnacentral:rRNA from 1 species